rnacentral:rRNA from 1 species
UACGUAGGUGGCGAGCGUUGUCCGGAUUUACUGGGCGUAAAGGGCUUGUAGGCGGUCUGUUAAGUCCGAUGUGAAAUCUCCCGGCUCAACUGGGAGAGGUCAUUGGAUACUGGCAGACUAGAGGGGGGUAGAGGAAAGCAGAAUUCCUGGUGUAGCGGUGAAAUGCGCAGAUAUCAGGAGGAACACCGAUGGCGAAGGCAGGUCUCUGGGCAUUAACUGACGCUGAGGAGCGAAAGCAUGGGGAGCGAACAGG